UGUGGCUCAUGCCCACCCUCCCUGCUAUCCUAAACUAAAACUCUUCCAGCCCUGUCCUGCUAUUCAUGACAGACCAUCCAUUUCCCAAUUCGGUGGUCCCAGAAUUCUUUCCAAUCACUCCCGCACCUAUUCCCCCACUCCUCCUCCUGGUGCUGAUUCCCAGCGCUGUGGUCCCAGAACUCCUUCCUGUGACUCCUUUCGCUAUUCCUCUUCUUCUAGCUCUGAUUCCCUAUGUUGUCCCAGAGCUCUUUCCCAUUACUCACCUGUCUAUUCCCCCACUCCUCCUCCUAGCCCUGCUUCCCAGUGCCGUGGUCCCAGAGCUCCUUCCUGUAACUCCUUUGUCUAUUCCCCCACUCCUCCUCCUAGCCCUGYUUCCCAGUGCCGUGGUCCCAGAGCUCCUUCCUGUGACUAUCCCCCUACAACUCCCUCCUAGCCUUKCUUCUUUCUAGUCCCCAGCCCCGACCCCUGCCACCCCCAACCGGACCUGAGAGUCCACAAAUCUCAUCUUGGAGAUGGUUUUCCUGUGCCUGGGGCAGUGCCGGUGCAGUUCAGGAUGGCCAAGACCGCGGGUUCCCAGCAGCCUGACCCAGUGGACAAGGGAAAUGCAAGGUGAUGGCAAACCGGCAUUUAGCCUGAGUAAGUCACAGGAGCCCUUUCCACAGCAGAGCCUGGUCACCUUACUGCUAUCUGUAUUUUGCCUUCAUUCCCAUCUUCUCAAUCCUCUUCAGAGACCAGAGACACCUUUAACAAUUUUCUUUCUCUAAAUAGUAUGGGCCUUUCCUCCCCUGCCUGAUCAGCCAGCCUGCCUGAGCUUCUACAUGUGUCCUGGGCUUCUCCAUGGAAGUCGGUCUGUAGCUGCAGAGCAAACCACAGUGCCGGUGACAGAGAAGGUAGAGGGAAGUGAGGAGUGGGAAGCACCUCAUCUGUUCUCUAGGAUGGCAAGUCCUGCCCUGGGUUAAGGAUUCCAGAACCAUGGCAGGGACUUUCUGUCCUUGGGAAGUGUUUCCUGCAGUAGGGGCAGGGGCCUCCAAUGUGCUCUCACCACAGCGCUGAGGCCUGAGCAUCUCUCAUCAGCUACUUCUACCUCACAACGGGGAGGAGAGCAGAGUCUGGAAGGCAAGAGCAUGUCCAGAUCCCACCCAGAUGCCUGUAGCACAUGAGCCGAUGAUGCUUACAAAAGGGCUCUCCUCUGAUGGUUAUCUAGAUUCAACAGAAUCUCAAUUCACAAUCCCACCGUAUUUUUGAGAACUUGACAGUUAAAAUUUCCAUGGAAAUGCAAAAAACCAAGGGAAUGACUGGCCAAGAUAAGAUCCAGUCAUAUGUCCAUUGCCUCCUGGGUCGGCCACUUGGUGGUGAGUCCUUUCCAGGCCCUGUGCAGGGGCAGUGACCACGCAGGUGCUGAGAAGCCUGGGCAGGUGAGUUGAGCACUGGAAGGGAGUGGGGUGUGAAAUAAGAUCCUGAGAAGUGGGAGUGGGGAGGGGUGGAUGGACAAUAAGAAUAAGAUCUACUCCAGCAGGGUGGUA